rnacentral:miRNA from 1 species
CGCAGUAUACUUUUGUGUUUUG